rnacentral:rRNA from 1 species
UACGUAGGGCGCAAGCGUUGUCCGGAAUUAUUGGGCGUAAAGAGCUCGUAGGCGGCCAGUUGCGUCUGCUGUGAAAUCCCGGGGCUCAACCCCGGGCGUGCAGUGGAUACGGGCUGGCUAGAGGCAGGCAGGGGAGAACGGAAUUCCCGGUGUAGCGGUGAAAUGCGCAGAUAUCGGGAGGAACACCAGUGGCGAAGGCGGCGAUCUGGGUCGAUACUGACGCUGAGGUGCGAAAGCGUGGGGAGCAAACAGG